CAUUACGUCUUCCCAACAGGCGUGAGGCACUGAGGCGUUUAGUAACCACUACUUAUUACUACGUAUAGUGUACAUGUAUAUAAUAUUUCAAAUUUAUUGCUAUAGACAUUAAAAUGUUAUUAAUUUGUAAUAUUAUGGUGUUAUACAACCAUAUAUCAAAUAUGUGAAUACUGCAAGUCGACAUUUAAAUUUUUGUACACUAGUUUUAGAAUAUUUAAAUCUGUCAAAUUAUAGAAAUGGCUUCAGUUCUUAAAAAGCAAAUUUUAAAACAACUAUCGAGGUUUACCAAAGGCCUGAGAGAAGAAGACAUCAAUUUGAGUACGUUUAAAGGUGAAGGUGAAUUGACAUCUCUGGAACUUGAUGAAAAUGCUUUAAUGGAUGUAUUAGAUGUACCAUAUUGGGUACGAAUAACCAGUGCCAAAUGUGAUAGAGUUUUCUUUCAGGUUCCAUUCAUGGCAAUCAAGAAAGUUCCUAUGUCCUUGACUUUAGAUAAAGUUUCGGUUGAAAUCGAAACUUGUGACAAUGUGGAAUCAAUGGCGAUGAGGGAAAACGUUCAGACUGUACAACCGGGAAAAUAUAAAUUUAUUAAUCAAGUUAUUGAUGGCAUGACUAUACAAAUAAAUGAAGUUAAUAUUACUUUUAGAGAUCCUGCUUUUCAUGCUUCUGUUCAGAUUUUGAAAAUAUUAGUUCAAUCUAAAUCUCCUAACUGGGAGUCUACAAAUCUUAAAACAACAAGACUAAAAAAUGAACAGAAAACUCAAAUAUUAAUAUUUAAAGAGUUGACUUGGCAGAUGAUACGAAUUGAAUUAUAUUCUACUAAUGAUCGAAAUAAACCUCCUAUUAAAUUAUUCACAAAUGAUAUAAUUUGCCGGUUAACUAUUAAAAAGAGACUUUCAGAUUGUUUCAUUUUGGGAUGCAAGUUAGCAAUUUUAAUUGAAGAGUUAUUGUGCGUUUUCACUGAUUCUCAAAUGAAAGCAGCACUUCAUUACAUAGAUUCAUUAGCUGGUGUUGUAAAAAAAUCAACAGAUCUUUCUCGCAAGAAAAAAGCAAUUAGAAAACUUGAAUGUUUACCUGAAUAUCAAGCUCAACUAGAUCAGGAAAAGAGAGGAAAAUUUGUAUCAAGUUCAAAAAGUUCAUGUUUAUUUAGUUUUCAUGAUGUAAUUGAAACAUCGUAUCAUUUUGUUGCGCAGAAAAUUAAUCUUCAUCUUAGUGAUGAUCCUGGAAGUCGUUCUUUACAUCCAGAUUUACAAAAAGGUGGUUCAAUACAAAUUGAAGUAACUUGUUUUCAAGUUGAUCUAUAUCCUUAUCAUUUGGCUGAUAGUGAUCGAUUACAUUGGGGUCUUUACAAGAAAGCAAGUUCAUCUUUUUUUCAAUGGUUAAAAGAUUCCCAGUCUGAAUUUUGGGAAAAUCUGUAUACAUUAACGAGAGAAAAUUUCCAAAUUCCUGAUAUUCAAAAAGGAAAUAUUACUAAAUAUUUAAAAGCUCAAUAUUCAAAGCUGAUGACAAGUUGUACAGUUCUAAGAAUGUCUGACUUUGUUGUAUUUAGAGUCCAGUCAGGAAAAAAACAAGAUCAGAUUGCUUUUAUUAAAGGUGAUAAGGAACGUCAUAAAUUACCUCAUGAUUCUAAAGUAAUUCAUGCAGAAUUUACAUAUUAUUAUUAUCCUGGAGAUGUUGCAUUCCCUUUGCCCCCAUCAAAAUUUUAUGCACAAUUAAAUCCAGUUCAAAUGAACUUUGACGCAUUAACUGUACUAUGGUUAAAUACGUUUGCAUUAAAUGUCUAUAAAUCACUAAUGACUACUAAUGUAGCAAAUCAAGAUAAUUUAGGCAGUAUGAUUUAUUUUGACAUUCUUGUCGAAGCAAUUAUGCCUCGUCUUAUAUUUGAAGAAGAAAAACUUUGUAAUAAUCAAAAGGAUCGUCCCAAAUCAUUAAAUUUACAAACUAGUCGAGCUACUUUAAGUAAUGUCCGUAGUAAUGAACAUGGCAUGUCAAGAUCUGAUUUAGCUAAUUGUGUUAAUGGCUUGCAAUUUGCAUCUCUUUUCUAUUCUUCUGAAUAUCCAGCAAAAGAGGGAGAUUAUCAUCCUGUAACAGAAAAAUUAUUAAACCAUGCUCAAGAUAAUGAUGAUGUACGAGCUUACCCUAAUAAUAUAACAGUUUCUUCAUUAGAAGAGUUCAUAAAAGAAUUAAGCCAAGAACUUUUAUGGAUUGAAGCUAAAGAUAUUUGGUGUGUACGAUUAGAUCCUGUUUGGGGUGAUUUUUAUGGUGCCAGAGCAGUUGGAUCUACACCAGUACCUUUUCUUGAAGCAUUUCCUCUAACCUUAUGGGUUCAGCCACCUACCCUUACACCAAAAUCUGAAGUUUUUAAUAGAAACUUAAAAUAUGGGGAUAUGACAGUGUUAUGUUAUGUUCCAAAUUUAAUUAGCAUACAAAUCAAUCAUUUUCAAUAUCUUUUUCUUUUGCGUGUUGCUGAUGCAGUAGAUGAACUUGCUACAUAUAUUGUUGCUGAUCAACAUAAUAUAGUGGGAAGUAAAAAGAGUGGAUCAUUUGUAUUUGCUGCACUAUUUGCUCAAGUUGAAAUAACAUUUGUCACUAGUGCUCAGUUAGAUAUAAUGGGAAAAUCUGGAGGUGUUGAUGAUGUAAGCUCAAGUGUUGUAGCAGAUUCAUCAAGUAUAGCGACUCAAAGUGGUCAUAGUGCACAAUUGAGCAAUAACAUACAAACCACUACUUAUGAGGAUGUUGGAUAUGUGUACGAUAUGAGCCAAGCUUUCAGAAUACCAAUGGCUAUAUCUGAAGCCAGUUCCAAACGAAAAGAAUUUAUGUCGCAAAAGUCAGCGUCUGUUGUGUAUGAUAAUGUCAAAGAAAUGUCUCAAAUAAAAAUGGCUGAAUCAAUUACGUCAGAUAUAAAUUUACCAACUUUCAAAGGCAUGAAGAAACGUUGGUUUAAUUUUGGAGCAUCAGUUGAUCUCACAGGAAAACAAAAUAUAGACGAUUUUAAUGAUAAUGUUUCUGUUAGAUCUGAUAUGAGCUCAGAUAGUGAAAGUUUAAUGGACUUGAGCUUAGACACAAAUGAUGGUGCUGAUGUAAUGUUUAAGUUUCCUUCAGCACAAAGACCAAAAGGUGGAUUUAUUAAAAAUAUUGAAUUGGCUUCUGAAGCAUUUGAUGAUAUUUUUGGAGGAGGAGAAUUAACCCCACCAACCACUUCUAGUGAAAGGGAUUCAAUUGGAAGUUCUAUUAAACGAAAAGAUUUGAUUGCUAUAACUACUCUGAAAUUUGGACGAGUUGAAAUUCUACAUCAAUCAGAAGGUCUCAAUUCGGUUGUUAAAUUACAAGUCACAAAUGUUAGUACAGAAGAAUGCCCAUAUAUUCCAUGGGAUGAAUUUCAGGACAAAUUUACAACCAGAACACGAGACUGGAACGAAGUUGAAGGUGUUGCAGGUUUACCACAGAUACCCAGGGUAAUGGUUCGAUUAGAACACAAUAUUAUGCCUAAACGUGAUGAAAAACUGAUUAAUGUCGAUGAAUGGAAAAAUGAUAAUGUUACUGCUAAGAUUAACAAUGUUUAUUUAUCAUUAAAUUCAAACUCAUUAACUAGUUUAGCGGACUUUUUUGUUGACGAACAUCCAUCAAAAGCAUUGCCAUUUGAGGCAACUAUUGAAAACACAACUAUAAAACUGUGUAGUCCAACUCAAAAUGAUGCUUUACAAGAUGAAACAAGCAUAAAACCAACUGAUACAGAAAUUCAUCUUAGUAGGUUAAAAGUCGAACGCACUAAUGAUGGUUUGGUUUGUGUGGAACCAAUAAAAGAAAAUUGUGAUAGUCCUGAUAGUAGUAAUCAGCAAAUAGAAAUGAUGGAAGAAUUUAAAAAAAUUACUAUUGAAAAUGAAUACCUUCAUAGAAAACUGGGUACUCUUGAACGAUUAAAAGAAGAGAAUUUAGAAUUGCGUAGGUUUCAAGAAGAAAACAAAAGUCUAAAAAUAUUGUUAAGUGAGGCACAAGAUAACAUUAGCAAGUUAUUGGGAGAAAAACAAAAUCUAUUGGAUCAAGUACAUGUUCUAAAAGAGCCAAAGACUAAUAUGAUAGUGACUUCUUCGAAAAGAUAGCGUACGUGUUGGUGCUUUACUUGCACGAACGAUAGAUCACCAGUAUGACUGUUAUAAAACAAGGGUAUCAUCAAUAAAAAACCAAUCUUCAGUAUCGGUUAAACCAGGAUUAAAUGUAUCUGUCAUUAUAACUUAUAAAUGAUAAUA
rnacentral:misc_RNA from 1 species